GACGGGGGAUGCAAGUGUUAUCCGGAAUCAUUGGGCGUAAAGCGUCUGUAGGUGGUUUACCAAGUCUGUUGUUAAAAAUCAGGGCUUAACCCUGAUCCGGCAACAGAAACUAGUAGGCUGGAGUACGGUAGGGGCAGAGGGAAUUCUCGGUGUAGUGGUGAAAUACGUAGAUAUCGAGAAGAACACCAAUAGCGAAAGCACUCUGCUGGGCCGAAACUGACAUUGAGAGACGAAAGCUAGGGGAGCGAAUGGG
rnacentral:rRNA from 1 species